GUGCCCCUACGGGGCGCAGCAGUAGGGAAUCUUCCACAAUGGGCGAACGCCUGAUGGAGCAACGCCGCGUGGGUGAAGAAGGUCUUCGGAUCGUAAAACCCUGUUGUUAGAGAAGAAAGUGCGUGAGAGUAACUGUUCACGUUUCGACGGUAUCUAACCAGAAAGCCACGGCUAACUACGUGCCAGCAGCCGCGGUAAUACGUAGGUGGCAAGCGUUAUCCGGAUUUAUUGGGCGUAAAGAGAACGCAGGCGGUCUUUUAAGUCUGAUGUGAAAGCCUUCGGCUUAACCGGAGUAGGGCAUUGGG
rnacentral:rRNA from 1 species